rnacentral:rRNA from 1 species
CGGCGUGCCUAACACAUGCAAGUCGAACGAGAUCCAUGGGAGCUUGCUCCCGGAAGAUCUAGUGGCGAACGGGUGAGUAACACGUGAGAAACCUGCCCUGGAGUGGGGAAUAACGUCGGGGAAACUCGAGCUAAUACCGCAUACCCUCGGAUGGUCGCAUGGCCGACCGAGGAAAGAUUUAUCGCUCUAGGAGGGUCUCGCGGCCUAUCAGCUAGUUGGUGGGGUAACGGCCUACCAAGGCAACGACGGGUAGCUGGUUUGAGAGAACGAUCAGCCACACUGGGACUGAGACACGGCCCAGACUCCUACGGGAGGCAGCAGUGGGGAAUCUUGCGCAAUGGGCGAAAGCCUGACGCAGCAACGCCGCGUGCGGGAUGACGGCCUUCGUGGUUGUAAACCGCUUUCAGCAGGGACGAAAAUGACGGUACCUGCAGAAGAAGCCCCGGCUAACUACGUG